UAGGUGUGGCCUUGUUGGAUGAAGUGUA
rnacentral:piRNA from 1 species